GGCGGCUUUAGCGCGGUGGUCCCACCUGACCCCAUGCCGAACUCAGAAGUGAAACGCCGUAGCGCCGAUGGUAGUGUGGGGUCUCCCCAUGCGAGAGUAGGGAACUGCCAGGC
rnacentral:rRNA from 3 species